rnacentral:rRNA from 1 species
AUGAACCAUCAGCGGCGGAAAGAGGCCUUGCGCGACCCAAGUUUCACUGAAGAGGCGUUCAACGCCCUCAGCUCUGCGGAUGCAUAUAUCCGGGCUGCUCGGGAUGGACUUGCCAAAGCUACUCACCAGCUUUCUAAGGAUAUGCGGGUACUUAUGGCGAAAAAUAACACGCUGUCCAAGGAGCUUGAAGAUUGUCAGACCAAGUUAACUGUUGUUACCGCCGAACUGGAGAAUUUGAAAAAAUCCAAAAAGGCGCCUGAUGGAUUGGUAGAGCAGUUGGAGGAGAUGCUGAAGGUUGCUCAGGUGGACAAACAACAUGCCAAAGGGCAAGAAGCCGCUGGUCAACAUAUAUUGACACGGACCAUGAAUGAGAAGAACAAUAUGCAGGAUGCAAACAUCAAGCAAGCCAAAGAGCUAAAGGACGUGAGAGCCCAACUGUCGGAUGCCUUGAAGGAGAACAGUGUGUUAACUGGGCAGCCUGAGGGAGAAGUGUCCGGGUUUCGAGGCGACUUGCUGCAAGAGCUGUCCAAAGUGCACGAGCAAGCUCGGAAAGUAAUGAGGAACAUGGCUAAGGCUUUAUGUCCAUCCGAUUCCUCUCCAAGAAUGAUGGAGGAGCUUGCGGAUUUAUUCAAGGGAGCUCAUCUUCGUUUUGAGCUAUGGAAGGCAUCAGCAUGUCGAGAAGGUGCACAAGAAGCCCAGGCCAUGGUGAAAACGCGGUAUACCGGACUUGAUCCAAAUCAUAUGGCCCGGGUCAGACCUCGGGGACCAGAUGGAUGA